UUUCAGCUCUGAACAGUAAGAGUUUAUGUGCUGUUAUUUCUACUCCAGCACAUAAGCUUUUACGGUGCAGGGAGGCAG
rnacentral:miRNA from 1 species